rnacentral:rRNA from 1 species
UACGUAGGGUGCUAGCGUUGUUCGGAAUCAUUGGGCGUAAAGCGCGUGUAGGUGGUUAGAUAAGUCGAUUGUGAAAUCCCUGGGCUCAACCGAGGAAGUGCAGUCGAAACUAUCUAGCUAGAGGAUGGCAGAGGAAGGUGGAAUUCCAAGUGUAGAGGUGAAAUUCGUAGAUAUUUGGAGGAAUACCGGUGGCGAAGGCGGCCUUCUGGACCAGUCCUGACACUGAGACGCGAAAGCGUGGGGAGCAAACAGGAUUAGAUACCCGUGUAGU